rnacentral:lncRNA from 1 species
UCGCUUAUUUAUGCUCAAGUGGUUAUACCCAUAUUAUGUAAAGAUUUCUUCUCUUUCAUACCUUUAUUGCAUAUCAAAGUGCUGCUUUCAGGUGCUAGAUUAAUUUGGUCCUUGCUUAGCCAUAUAAUCAAAUGCCAGAUAGGUCGCAUGGUUGAUUAGAAAAAGAUCAUUUGAGGGUCCAUGCGUAUUGUGGUUGUAGUUCUGCGAAUCAAAAAUGUUAUUCUUGGUUGCUAGAUUAAUUUGGUUAUCCAGUCGGCUCCCAAUUUCCAGUUUCUAAUUAUAUGAGGAAAUGGUGUUUUAAUGUUAAUUACUUUGUUCGGUACUUCUGUUUUCUAAUUCUUUGCUUGAUGUGUUUUCAAUUGGGAGCUCUCCACUCGAAAGAUACCUCAACGCCCAGCCACCUCUUCACCACCACACGCCAGUCAGCGCACGAGGCAGCGGAACUGGGUUUGUCUUCGUCCAGGGAAGUGAAGGUCUACCCCUUCUCUCUCUCCUUUCUCUGUUCUUAUUUGUUUGUAGGCCCGGGCUUGUAGAUUUUUUGUCUUCUCUAUCUGGAGAUGCUGUUGGACUAAGACUAUAUUCCAAAUACAGGGGCCUUUUGUGCUCUCUGGUUCGGCUAGAUUCCAAGUAUUAGGAUUUUUUGGGCUCUAUGGUCUGAUGUUGUUAGUUUCGGCUUAUUGUAGCUUCAGAAAUGAUCAAUUUUGGACGUAUUGAAUUGGAAUUUUCUCUCUGUUGGGCCCAUCGGUGGAGUUCGCCUUGGGGCCUUUGAAAUCCUAGAGCCGGCCCUAGGUUUAGUAUGUCAUUUUGCCUGAGCGUUUUCCUGAGUAUGAGCGGCUGAUCCUUAGAGCCAUUUGCUACUGAGUGUGAUCAUAAGAUUAAAUAAUGGUCUCUUACACAGCAAUUUGCUUUCUUACACUGUUUGUUACUUAGUUAGUCUUUAUUAUAUCAUAACUCACGGCUUCUCUACCUCUUUUUUGUAAAGAAGAAUUAAAUCAAUCCUAAUCCUGCACCACAAAUAUUUGUUUUAGCACCACAAUUAUCGUAUGGAACUGAUAUUUGUUUAAAAGUUAUUGUGCUCUCUGUCUCUUCUUCUACUUGAUUUGUGCUACAUUUUGUGCCGCCAGUAAAACUUUCUUUGCUAUUUCAUUAGGCUCAGUUAGU